rnacentral:rRNA from 1 species
AACGAACGCUGGCGGCAGGCCUAACACAUGCAAGUCGAGCGCCCCGCAAGGGGAGCGGCAGACGGGUGAGUAACGCGUGGGAAUCUACCGUACCCUACGGAAUAGCUCCGGGAAACUGGAAUUAAUACCGUAUACGCCCUACGGGGGAAAGAUUUAUCGGGGUAUGAUGAGCCCGCGUUGGAUUAGCUAGUUGGUGGGGUAAAGGCCUACCAAGGCGACGAUCCAUAGCUGGUCUGAGAGGAUGAUCAGCCACAUUGGGACUGAGACACGGCCCAAACUCCUACGGGAGGCAGCAGUGGAGAAUAUUGGACAAUGGGCGCAAGCCUGAUCCAGCCAUGCCGCGUGAGUGAUGAAGGUCUUAGGAUUGUAAAGCUCUUUCACCGAUGAAGAUAAUGACGGUAGUCGGAGAAGAAGCCCCGGCUAACUACGUGCCAGCAGCCGCGGUAAAAC